rnacentral:lncRNA from 1 species
UAUUAAACUAGAUUAGUUUAACAUGUGAAAUGUCCGUAAAGUAUUAUCACAUGAUUGGUUUUAGGGCACAUUUCCAACAGUGUACCGACAAUAUGACACUAAUGGGGCAAUAGCUCAAGCCAGGGAAUCAAGGUCUCAUCAAGAUCCGAACUCAAAUAAGAGACUGUACCACAUGAUUGAGAAUCAUGUAUAAUGGUGACGUCGUUAUUCUCAAGGUUGCUUCUAUGGAUAACAUAUAGAUAUCCAUUGUCUAGGCCUACUACUUAGCCAUUUUUGAAAUGACUAAAGAAGAGGUAUCAUCACUGAUGACCAAGCUGAUUGGCUCUAGUGCAAGUGGGAGAUUGUUGGAAAUGUGCCAUAAAACCAAUCAUGUGAUGAUACUUUACGGACAUUUCACAUGUUAAACUAAUAUAGUUUAAUAUCAAGGGCAAAGAUUAUUGUUUUAAGCCGUCUCAUAUAAAUGUUAUAUGCUUAAAUGAUAAGUCCAAGGAAUAUGUAUUUAGGAGAAUGUAAUUUAAACAAGUUAGAUUUAUGAGACCAUUCUCUUUCGUAGACAUAUCCUAAACGUUCCUGAUCAUAGGAUUGCCAAUUGGGCAUUGACAGUCCGUUAAGAUUAGUACGUGUUGUGUCUUCUCUCAUGGAGAGUGACUGGUCUCGAGUCAUUGGUGUGAUUGACACCAAGACAAGCAUGUAGGUGCUCAAUAGCGAAUGAGUCCACUGAACACGAUCAACGAGGAGUUCUCAUACUCAUGUCACAUGAGAACUCAUGGUUGGGAUAAUGCAAAGUAGUCCUUUGACCUGAGGCAUCAUAGUUGUCUUGUGGUUAAGUCCUUGAUCUUUGACUAUGUCAAAGUCACUCCAUCAGAGGGUGUCCACGGCAUAGUUGGGGUUAAGCCACUUAGCCAUGAAGGCAAGUGAAUGCGCAACAAGGGAUCUCUAACCUUCAAACUGUUUGAAGGAGAAUACUCUAUGAUAUGAUUAAGAAUCUCUGGCCAGAGUAUGAAUGAGAUUUAGGAAGUCAUUCCAAAU